rnacentral:rRNA from 1 species
UACGUAGGUGUCAAGCGUUGUCCGGAUUUAUUGGGCGUAAAGCGCCCGCAGGCGGCUUGCCAAGUUCGAUGUGAAAUCUCCCGGCUCAACUGGGAGGGUGCAUCGAAAACUGGCAGGCUUGAGGCAGGGAGAGGGAUGUGGAAUUCCAGGUGUAGUGGUGAAAUGCGUAGAUAUCCGGAGGAACACCAGAGGCGAAGGCGGCCUACUGGGCUGCACCUGACGCUGACCCGCGAAAGCCAGGGGAGCGAACGGG